CAAUAGCGUAUAUUAAAGUUGUUGCAGUUAAAAAGCUCGUAGUUGAAUUUUUGCUUGCCGCCGAUGUCGGAACUUCCGUACGUUCGGCGGCGUGCAUCCUUGGGUGGAACCUGUGUGGCAUUAGGUUGUCGUGCAGGGGAUGCUCAUCGUUUACUGUGAAAAAAUUAGAGUGUUCAAAGCAGGCUUACGCCGUUGAAUAUAUUAGCAUGGAAUAAUAAGAUAGGACCUUGGUACUAUUUUGUUGGUUUGCGCACCGAGGUAAUGAUUAACAGGGACAGUUGGGGGUAUUCGUAUUCCAUUGUCAGAGGUGAAAUUCUUGGAUUUCUGGAAGACGAACUACUGCGAAAGCAUUCACCAAGGAUGUUUUCAUUAA
rnacentral:rRNA from 1 species